ensembl:misc_RNA Metazoa_SRP Metazoan signal recognition particle RNA
GCCAGGCAUGGUGGCAUAUGCCUGUAAUCCCAGCUACUUGGGAGGCUGAGGUGGGAGAAUCACUUGAACCCAGGAGAUGGAAGUUACAGUGAGCCAAGAUUUGGCCACUGCACUUCAGCCUGGGUGACAGAGUAAGACUCAAUCUCAA